AUUGAACGCUGGCGGCAGGCCUAACACAUGCAAGUCGAGCGGAUGAAGAGAGCUUGCUCUCUGAUUUAGCGGCGGACGGGUGAGUAAUGCCUAGGAAUCUGCCUGGUAGUGGGGGAUAACGUUCCGAAAGGAACGCUAAUACCGCAUACGUCCUACGGGAGAAAGCAGGGGACCUUCGGGCCUUGCGCUAUCAGAUGAGCCUAGGUCGGAUUAGCUAGUUGGUGAGGUAAUGGCUCACCAAGGCUACGAUCCGUAACUGGUCUGAGAGGAUGAUCAGUCACACUGGAACUGAGACACGGUCCAGACUCCUACGGGAGGCAGCAGUGGGGAAUAUUGGACAAUGGGCGAAAGCCUGAUCCAGCCAUGCCGCGUGUGUGAAGAAGGUCUUCGGAUUGUAAAGCACUUUAAGUUGGGAGGAAGGGCAGUAAGUUAAUACCUUGCUGUUUUGACGUUACCGACAGAAUAAGCACCGGCUAACUUCGUGCCAGCCGCCGCCGUAACAC
rnacentral:rRNA from 1 species